GGAACGUUGCCGGGUGGCCGCUGACAGCCUCAAAGUCGCAAUUGAGUCUGCGCACCGGCCAUUCAGGAUGGGACGACCUUAUACCGCGAUAAGGCUGUGUGGCAGGACAAUCAAUUUCAGAUUCUGGGCGCAGCAUAAAUGGGAAGGGUCGGUUUGAGAAACGGUCAAACCUGGGGACUGGUGAAGGAUAGUGAGCUGCCGACUACGGUGGCCGACUGGGUUCUUUCUGGUAAAAGUAAUGACAUACGCAUCUGUGACAGCAUCCCAAGAGUGAGCCUGGUUUCUGGAAAUCCAUUCCGACUCUGUGACAGCGGGGAUGGAUGUGACCUUGCCCGUGGUUAGAAAACAAAUUUACUGAGUGUCAGAUCUUUUUCCAAGAACAGCAGAAAAUGAUCGAGUACCAGACACCUGUGUCAUUCAAAGAUGUAGUUGUGGGCUUCACCCAAGAGGAGUGGCACAGGCUGAGUCCUGCUCAAAGGGCCCUGUACCGGGAUGUGAUGCUGGAAACCUAUAGCAACCUCGUCUCAGUGGGUUAUGAAGGCACCAAACCAGAUGUGAUCCUCAGGCUGGAGCAGGAAGAAGCACCAUGGAUUGGUGAGGCAGCAUGCCCGGGCUGCCACUGUUGGGUGGCUGUACCUUUUUAUAUUCCAACCAGCAAUGCACAAGGGUUCCAGUUUCUUCACCACCUCGCCAUCCAUCAUUUGUUAUAAUCAUAUGCCACAUAAUGAUGUUUUGGUCAGUGAGGGACCACAUAUACAGUAGUUGUCCCAUAAGAUUAUAGCAGAGCUGAAAAUUUUCUUUUUAUAAAAUUGUAUUAUUAUUAUUUUUUCUUCCAACUCUUACGGAGGUGAAAAAUUUCUACGGCCUAAUGACAUUUUGGUGAUCCUGGCACUGCGUGUACCUAUGCCAAUGUGUUUGUGUCUUUGUUUUUAACAAAAAAGUUUUUAAGAAAUAGAAAAUUUCUGGAGGCUGAGGAAAGAGAAUUGCUUGAACCCAGGAAGCGGAGGUUGCAGUGAGUUGAGAUCACACCACUGCACUCCAGCCUGGGCGAGAGAGCAAGACUGUCUCAAAAUAAAAUAAAAUAAAAAUUUUUAAAAAUUAAAAAAAAUUAUUUUAAGUAGAAGAUUAUAGAAUAAUGAUAUAAAGAAAAUAUUUGUGUACAGCUAUACAAUGUGUUUGAAGGUAAUUUCUUACAAGAGAGUCAAAACAUUUUUAAAAAUUAAAAAGGUUUAUAAAGUAAAGAAGUUAUAGUAAGCUAAGGUUAAUUUAUUACCAAAGAAAAAAUUCAAAUAAAUUUAGUGUAGCCUAAGCAUACAGUACAUAUAAAGUCUACAGUAGUAUACAGUACUGUACUAGCCUUCACAUUCACUCGCUGACUCACCCGGAAUAGCUUCCAGUCUUGCAAGCUCCAUUCAUGGUAAGUGCCAGAUGCAGGUAUACCAUUUUUUAUCUUUUAUACCAUAUUUUUACUGUACCCUUUCUAUGUUUAGACAUAUUUAGAUACAUGAAUACCAUUGAGUAGAAUCACCUACGGUAUCCAGGCAACUUGGAUUUGUAGCCUGGAAGUGAUAGGCUGUACCAUAUAGCAUAGGUGUGUGCCAGGCUACAUCACCUAGGUUUGCGUAUGUACACUCUCUAAUGUUCACAUAAUGAUGAAGUCACCUAACCAUGCAUUACUCAGAAAGUAUCCACAUCAUUACACAAUGCAUGACCAUGUUUACAUUCUGCUUUUUAAAAAUAUUAAAUUAGGCUGGAUGUGGUGGUUCACGCCUGCAAUCCCAACACUUUAAGACACCAAGGCAGGCAGAUCACUUGAGCCCAGGAGUUGGAGACCAGCCUGGGCAACAUGGCAAAACCCCAUCCCAACAAAAAAAGACAAAAAAAUUACCUGGAUGUGGUGAUGUACACCUGUGGUCCCAACUACUGGGGAGUCUGGGGCAGGAUGAUUAUCUGGGCCUGGAGAGGUGGAGGCUGCAGUGAGCCACAGCACUCCAGCCUGUGUGACAGAAUGGGACCCUGUCUCGAAAAAAAGUCUUAAAUUUGUGUAUCUUAAGAAUAUACAUUAAUAUAGACUAAAGAGUUUAAAUAUCAAAUAAAGAAGGGUUUUUUUUUUCAGUUGAAACAAUGUAUCAGAGGAUUAAAAAAACCAUAAAAUAUUUGUUUAAAUGUAAAGGAUUUGUUUAAUCUGCCCUAUUAAUUGAAAUUUUCACAGUUAACUAGUACUAUUUUUUAUUUAAAAAAUAGUAUGUAUGUAACAGAAAAGUAAAGAUGUGAAGUGUUGAUGCUGUUUUUCAGCAGCAGAAACUGGAAAACAUGCAGCCUCAUGAUUGUCAUACUCUUUCGCCAGAUCAUUGCGUUGUUUGCCCAGGCACCCCUCAUCCCAUCUCUCUCCAUCCCUUUUCUUACCUUUUCAUUUUCCUUGUCUUUUCAUUGGAGCAUUUACCAAUGUCUGAAGGUAGAAUGUUGUUGUUGAUUGACUCUCUCUUCAACUAGAACGUAAGCUAUAAGCGGCCCAGCCUUUGUCCCACACACUGCAGUGUGCCCCACUUCUAGGAAAGUGUCCAGCACACAGUAGGAACUCAGUCCGCAUUUCUUGAAUGAAUUAAGUGAGGUAUACAGGCCACAUUCUGAGCUGCUGGAGAAGCCAGUAGUUGAUUACCAAACUCUAGUCCUUUAUCUUGAUGUCCUAAUGUCCUGACUGAUACACUCAAUUUGUAGGCAAAUAGCUGGUGGGGUUUAGUAGUAUGGGGUAGAAUAAAGGGAGAUGUAGUUGGAACCCUCUAUCCACGUUAUCUGCCCCAUGAAAAGCUAGUUCCAGGCGUUGCCAUCUCUGCCCCACACGGGGCUUGCGUUAGUCCUCGUUCCCGCCUUUUCCAGACAGCAGUGCUGAGAAGCAGGAGCCCCUGAGCUGGAGACGCAGGAAUCCUGAGCCCUGGGAGGCCCAGAUCGAAGGGAGGCAGUCAGCUCAUGGAGCCGGGGAAUGUUCUGCUGGAACCACCCCCCGCCGCGAGGGUAUCCGGUAUGUUUCUGGGCACCAGCGACCCCUCCACACCUCACCAGACCGGAUCCCCAGCCCCGCGGGACCCGAUUCCGGCCUACACCCUCCAAUCCGGAACCAAAUCAGAAGAGCAGUCCCGAGUGCCCGCCUCACGGUCUGAAGCACCUCGUCCUACACCCGGACCCGAACACGAGGUCGGCUCAAGGAGGCACUGAGGUCAGGACAGUCAGGCAGUCAGGAUCCUGCGCCGCUUGUCGCAUGCAGUCUCCUUCCCCGAACCGCCGCCUGCACGGCCUCCACUGUCUUCCUAUUGGGCUGCAGCCUGCGAGGCCUGACAAUGGCGGCCCACAAAGCUGGAACGCGAAAGCGCAUGCGCCAGGCGCGAUCUCCAGGCGCCAGCGCUGAGGCGGGGGCCGGGGGAGCUCACGUCACAGUGACCGCCGCCGUUGCCGGGGGACUGGCCCCAGCGGCUUGGCGGGGCAGAAGCCGUCUGUGGCAGUGCGUCCGCUCUCCGCCGGAUAGUCGCCAUGGUCCCCGCGAUCCUAGUAGUCGGGCAGGGCCGAACCUGGCUGAAGAAACCUCAAGCGGAGAUUCAAGGAGGCACCACGUGAUCCCUAAGGAUUCCCCAGGAUGCGUCGGGCAUGACUAGAUGGUGUGGGGGUGUGUCUCCUUGACAGCUGUCCCGCGGGGAUUUCGAGGUACGGCCUGUGUUUCCCAGGGCUGUUCUCUUCCCGGAAGGGCUUCCUGGCAGGGAGCAGAACCCCGCAGCUUCAGGAGCUGCUUGGCUGUGUGUGUUUCUGCGCGAGUGUUGGAUGUCUGUGUGUGAGUGUGUGUGGUGUCCCGUGAAAGGAAUGUGGCUCGAGCAGUGGAGCGCGGUUUCUCUGUAGUGCGCCUACUCUCUGAUGCGCCCCUCUCUUUGGCCGGGCUUGGGUUGCGGGGCCAAGCGUUCUUUGUUUUGCUCUUGGUUCCUAAAGCCUCGGUGAAGUGGGGGUGCUGGCUGAGACCCGCAGGCGUCCAAAUCACCUCCCCACCCCAAGGGGGCCACUCUUCCAGAAAGAAGACGGGCACACCACACCCAAGAACAAAUUCCUCCGGGGGUCCAUGGUCCUGUGGUGCACCCAAGGCUGAACGGACCCUAGCCGUCCUGUCCUCAGGACCCCCCCUUGAGCCCGCUUCUAAUUCGGUGACUGGCGGAACCGGAGCUUCAGGACGUGAGGCGGGCACUCCUUCAUCCUCUUCGGAUUUCAUUCUGGAUUAAAGCAUGUGUGCAGAAAAAAGGUCAGAUGGGGGUGAGGAUACAAUCCGCUGAGCUGUGGAGGGGGUCUGGCACCUUCACCUGCAGAACAGGUGCAGAAAGAUGUCAAAGAAACUGCUUCCAACACCAUCCCCUUUUCCUCUUCAGUGUACAACCUUGUCCACACUAUGGCGCUGUGCUGGCGACAGAAGACACGAAUUUCAGAGAUCCUUUAGACCGCAAACUGUGGCCUUUCUUGCCAGGUCCCCUGUUGGACCCUGGUUCCCCGAGCCACAAGGGAGUGGGAUGGAUUGAUCCUGCCUGGGCUGCGGCCUCUACUCUGUCCUCCCUCUUUUCUUGCCUUCCCUGAUGCUUGUGGGCCCAGGUUUUCCUUGGUCUGGCUCACAGUCCUCCAGAAUGUCCUCCACAGCAAACGUUUCCCAGUUCGUCCAGGACCGCCUUGGCGGGGAUGUACGUGAUGAGUGUUUCCUUCUCAACACUCGCAUUUCUUAAUGACUGGAUAGCUGUGACGCUCGUGGAACCGUGGGUGCCCGUAGCUUCCGCCAACAAGGAAACUCUUGGUCUCCCUGUUGCAUCAGUUGGCUGCAUGAUUCACAUAGGAUGAGAGGUAGCCAGCCGUAGCUGGUCUUUGCCUUCUAAUCAAGGCUAUGUUUCAUCUCAUCUGCUGGUGUUUUCUCAUUGUUGAGGGGUCUUCCAUUGCUCUGUUCCUGGCUGGGACUGCCUCUCAGCACUGCACCUUUUGGUUGCCACGGAUUUCACGGAGCAAAAGGGACUGGGGGUUUGCUGGGUGCAGGCCCGGUGGUGGGUUGUGAUCCCGGUGUGGGAGUUGGGGUGGUUUGCAGUUUGCAGGAUCCUCUUGGCUCCUCUGGCAGGAAUCCCUGGACGAGGCUUGGACUCUGGCAUAGGCCCUCCUGUGGUUCCAGGUGUGCUUUGUUUGUGCUUCGCUUUCUUGGGCGAUCCUCAGUGGUCCUCGGCUGCAUGCCUGGACAUCCCUUUCAGGCUUGAAUUCACCCCAAAAGGCCUCUGAGACACUCUCUCCACCUUAUCUGCCCCCAUGGGAUGCCAGUUUCAGGUGUUGCCACCUCUGCUCCACAUUGGGCUUGCCUUUGUUCUUGUUUCCGCCUUUUCUCCACAGCAGUGCUGAGAAGCAGGAGGCCCUGGGCUUGGAGACCAGGACAGGGCCCUGAGAGGCCCAGGUCGAAGUGGGGCAGUCAGCUCAUGGGGUGGGGGAAUGUCCUACUCACACCCUCCACUGGGGUCUCAGAUAUGUUUUGCUGCCCCAGUGACCCCUCCACUCCUCACCAGAUUGGAUCCCCAGCCCCAUGGGACCCGAUUCCUGCCCACACCGUCCAAUCCGGAAUCAAAUUAGAGAGCAGUCCUGAGUGCCCACCUCACGGUCUGUAGUGCCUCCUCCUCCACCCAGACCCGAACACAAAGUGGGCUCAAGUAGGCACUGAGGUCAGGAUUGUCGGGGUCCUGCGCUGCUGGUCUCACUCAGACUCCUUCCUCCGGCCGCCGCCUGCACGGCCUCCAUCAUUUUCCUAUAGGGCUGUAGCCAGAGAGCCCGGACGCUGCUGCAGCGCCAGCCGGGCACGCGAAUGCGCAUGCGCCGUGGGCGCGUCACCAGGCGCGAUCGCCGAGCCGGUGCUUUCGUCACAGUGACCGCCACCGUUGCCUGGGGACGGGUCGCAGCAGCUUGGCGGAGCAGGACCCCUCCGUGGCAGUAAGUUGGCGCUGGGCUGUGGCCCCUCCUCUCCGGGGGAUCGUCGCCUUGGUCCCCCGGUCCUAGGAGUCCGGCAGAGCCAAACCAGGCUAAAGAAACCUCCAGCAGAGCUUCAAGGAUGCACCGCGUGAUCCCUAUCGGAUCUCCCCGAUGCAUCAGGCCUGCCCAGACAGUGUUGGGGGCGCGUCUCCUUGAAUGCUGUCCCACCUGGGAUUUCAAGGAAUUAUCCGAUGAAAAGUAGAAGAGGUUGAAUGGCUUUCAGUGGCCCUUUCUUCACAGGGCUCACCUGAAACUUCAUGUACCAUUGCACUUCCUGAGAAGCUGUCCCCAAUCCCAGGCUCCUAGCAAUGCUGUUCCAGUAAUCUCUCUUCUGUUAAGACAGCCACUCCACCCACUGCAGUUUACAAGCAAAGCCUCCACAGCUCUGGGUGCUGGGCCUGAGGUCAGACCAACCCAACCAGCUGACACCAGCGCAACACCCAAUCACACAGGCCCUGUGGAGGAGGCCCCUUCUACAGGAAGCAGCAGUACUGUGACACCGGAAAACAGGCUACAGCAAGGUACUGGCUGCCAGUCCAGGCACACAGAGCCAUCACUCUGAACUGGUACAUUCCAGGAAACCCCAAGAUUAUUCAGUAAGAACAGUCUCAGGAAAACAGGACCUUCAACAGAGAUAAGAGAAUUAAAAUACGCAGGCUAACAACUCUGGGAAUGGGCUGACCGGCCUGAUAAGAAUAGGCUGACGGCACCUACAGAAGGCCACAAAACACUGAUCAAGAAAGCAAUGACCAAGAAAGCAAUGACCUGAGACUGCACAUUUCACAAGAAUGUUUUGAUCAUCAUUUUUCCUAAUUUCCCUUAAAAUCCCCUGAUAUGGAGACAGAACUCAGUGGUCUUUGAACACUAGUUCACUGCCUCCCCUGGGUUGCUGGCUUCCUGAAUAAAGCUAACCUUCCUUUCACCAAUGCUCAUCUCUUGAGCUUUCAAGUGGCAAGUAGUCUGGACCUGAAUUUGGUUACAAAACCUAUGUAUACCUUACCUUACAUGGCAAAGGGGACUUUAGAAGUGCAAUUAAAUUAAGGAUCUUGAGAGGGGGUUAUCCUGGAUUAUCUGGUUGGGCCCAAUGUAUUUAUAAGUGAUAGAGGGAGGCAGGUGAGUAAAAGAAGGAAAUGUGAUGAUGAAAGCAAAGGUCGAAAUGUGAUUGCUGGCUUUGAAAACAGAUGGAAGCCACACCCCAGGGACCGUGGACCGCCUUUAGAACCAGAAAAAGACAAGGAAACAGAUUCUCCAGUCUUCUAGAACCUCCAGAAGGAACAUGGCUCUGCUAAUACUAUGAUAUUAGCCCUUUCAGACUGAUUUCAGACUUCUGACCAGCAGAAGUAUAAAUCAUAAUUAUACUGAUUUAAGCCACUAAGUAUGGUGGUUAUUAGUAACAGCAGCAACAGGAAACUAUAUCAGGAACAAGAGCCCUUCCUUCACAGGACCCUGUUCCCAUUCAAUCCUCAAAGUUUCACGGAAAAUCUUGCCACACACUGAGACUAGGAACAUCCAACAAAAAAAUGCUGUCACUUUCAAGUGGAAAACGCAAGUUUGUAGAGAAGACCAAACUUUGUCAUGUGUCACAUUCAAACACUCAUCUCUACCUCACCAAACCGUGGUACUAACGUGUACCAUUCUUAAAAGGAGGUAUUUCUGUUCCCUCAGGGCUCUGGGAAGAAGACUAUGCCUGUGGACAAUGCAGAAUUAUCUGCUGAAUGAACAUCUAAAAACUGUUUGGAGAGGGGAAAAGCACUGAGAAGAAUUGGGCUCUUUGCUACUAUUACUCACUAGAAUGGGAGACUUUGGCAGCAGUUCCCUUAAGGGACCAAACAAGGCAGGAAAUUCUGGGAUAAAUAAAUCUGGUGUUCACAUUACACAACAAAAUGAUUGUACUUCAAGAAGGAAAGAAACAGCAACUCACGUGGGGCAUGGUUUUUUAGAACUGUCAGAACUGAUCGAUUUUCUGGGUUCCUUUCCUGGAGGUGUGCAAAGUCCAGAGAAGCCAGUGCUGGAGAAGGAAAAAAAGCCACAAGAUUGAGUUGGCUCACAGCCCACAAAAUAAAACUACUUAGAACUACCUUUACUUCUCCUCUUUUGGGAAUUUGGAAAAAAAUCUCAGUCCUUCCACAAACCCAGUGGAAGCCAGCUACUGCAGAAGGGGUUCAGGCCAGACCUUUCCUUAAUGUCCAUGUUGAACAGGACCCUAGGUGCUGUUACUUUCCCAUGGCAUCUUCACCUCCACAGUAGAACAGGGGCAUGCCCAGGGAGCCCCCCACCAUCCCCCUGGACCCAAAGUGAGGUGCUUUGCUCCCAAUCUUAGGAAGGCGCUUCAGAGACCAAAAUGUGGCCUCCUUUCAGACAUCAUGAACAUCAGCUAGACUCACAGACAUUUUGACAGACACAUCAGAGUCAACAGAUCCAAAACAGUCUCAUCCCACUCCCCUGAAGCUAGUUCUUUUUUGCCUGUUUACUCUUCCCUAUAAAAGAAAAUUCCUUUAUGCCUGACCUUUGCUAUGCUUGCAGAUCUUACGGUUGUAGUGUUCUUCCAAUUACAACACCUCUUCCCUUACUGCAAUGUUUCUAUGAAUAAAUAGUCAUUCCUUACCUAA